rnacentral:lncRNA from 1 species
UUUUAAUUCUAUGAUCAAAGUAAUCUCAGAAAUAUCAGUUUGCUACCAGCAAGUUUUUAUUAAAACAAACUGAGUCAGGAGUGUGAAAUAGAUUCUUCCUUGUCAUUAAGAAUCAGCCUUGGCGGCAGAAGUUGCUACAAUUGCUCAAGAGGAAUAAAGAGCAACAAGGCACACAAUGAAUAAUGCCCAGGCACAAAAGGAGAAUAAACUAUUAUCAUCUGACUCUUGUGUGCCGAGUAAUCUGCAGAAACUCAAAGGUCAAGAUUUGCUACUAGUAAGCCAAAAGUUCCCUGGAGUGUCAGCAACCACAGUUGCCAGAGAAAAUGGGAGUGUAUCACGCUGCUUAGCUUCUGCAUAUGACAUGGAUUUGAAAUGAGUAUGAUGAGAAGCCAAUUGAUGUCAUUUUCCCAUAAGAUAAUGAAACUGAGGUGCCUAGAGAUCAGUGGUAGCACCAGAAUUCAAAACUGCAGCAGAAGUUACUGCAGGAUACUAUACGAAAGGAAGAGAAAAAGAGCCAGACACAAGAAAAUGGAGAGACCCGAGAAUCUGAAUAGGAGAUGGAGUAACCGAGACAGGAUUUAUCUUCCCACUUAAUCAACAAAUAAAAAUAUAUGCAACAGUAGUUUAUAGGACAGUGGGCAUCAGACAAUGAAAGGCAGUAAUCUCUGAAAGAAAGGACAUGAAUGAGGGUGAGUCAUAUGAUUGCCCCAGUUUACUACCAUGAGAGUAAGCUGUAUUACAGAGAGGAGACAUUCAGAUGGAGCACAGUGAAUUUGCUGGGUUGAAGAAGUGGUAGUCUAGGAAGACAAAGACAGCAGCAAGAAACACAUGAGCUGUAUAGAUAGAGAGCUCCAGUGUAUUCCACUAUAGCUCAUGAUUUUAGUGUCUUACCUAAGAAAUCUUUACCUAACAAAAAUUCCCCCUGUUUUCUUCC